rnacentral:rRNA from 1 species
AUUGAACGCUGGCGGCAGGCCUAACACAUGCAAGUCGAACGGUAACAGGAGGCAGCUUGCUGCUUCGCUUACGAGUGGCGGACGGGUGUGUAAUGUCUGGGAAACUGCCUGAUGGCGGGGGAUAACUCCUGGAAACGGUAGCUAAUACCGCAUAACGUCGCAAGACCAAAGAGGGGGACCUUAGGGCCUCUUGCCAUCGGAUGUGCCCAGAUGGGAUUAGCUAGUAGGUGGGGUAACGGCUCACCUAGGCGACGAUCCCUAGCUGGUCUGAGAGGAUGACCAGCCACACUGGAACUGAGACACGGUCCAGACUCCUACGGGAGGCAGCAGUGGGGAAUAUUGCACAAUGGGCGCAAGCCUGAUGCAGCCAUGCCGCGUGUAUGAAGAAGGCCUUCGGGUUGUAAAGUACUUUCAGCGGGGAGGAAGGGAGGAAUGUUAAUACCUGGGCUCAUUGACGGUACCCGCAGAAGAAGCACCGGCUAACUCCGUG